rnacentral:rRNA from 1 species
AUUGAACGCUGGCGGCAGGCCUAACACAUGCGAGUCGAGCGGAUGAAGGGAGCUUGCUCCUGGAUUCAGCGGCGGACGGGUGAGUAAUGCCUAGGAAUCUGCCUGGUAGUGGGGGAUAACGUCCGGAAACGGGCGCUAAUACCGCAUACGUCCUGAGGGAGAAAGUGGGGGAUCUUCGGACCUCACGCUAUCAGAUGAGCCUAGGUCGGAUUAGCUAGUUGGUGGGGUAAAGGCCUACCAAGGCGACGAUCCGUAACUGGUCUGAGAGGAUGAUCAGUCACACGGGAACUGAGAAACGGUCCAGACUCCUACGGAGGGCAGCGGGGGGAAAUAUUGAACAUGGGGGGAAGGCUUGUCCAAGCCAGGCGGCGUGGGUGAAGAAGGUCUUCGGAUUGUAAGCACUUUAAGUUGGGAGGAAGGGCAGUAAGUUAAUACCUUGCUGUUUUGACGUUACCAACAGAAUAAGCACCGGCUAACUUCGUG